rnacentral:rRNA from 1 species
AUCCGGAAACGGGUGCUAAUACCGCAUAGUUUCUUGAUCGCAUGAUCGGGAAAGGAAAGACGGCCUUUGUGCUGUCGCUUAUGGAUGGACCCGCGGCGUAUUAGGUUAGUUGGUGAGGUAACGGCUCACCAAGACGAUGAUACGUAGCCGACCUGAGAGGGUGAUCGGCCACAUUGGGACUGAGACACGGCCCAAACUCCUACGGGAGGCAGCAGUAGGGAAUCUUCCGCAAUGGACGAAAGUCUGACGGAGCAACGGCCGCGUGAGUGAAGAAAAGGGUUUUUCGGAUCGUAAAACUCUGUUGUCAGAGAAGAACAAGUUUGGAGAGUAACUGCUCCAGCCUUGACGGUAUCUGACCAGAAAGCCACGGCUAACUACGUGCCAGCCGCUGC